UGGAAUCUGGAACUGGUCACUUGGAAACUGGGAAUCGUUGGUCUUCUCUUUGUGUUCUAGAACGGAGGCAAUUAUACUUCCACUCGUCUCCCAGGCAGACAGUUCAGAAUGAAUGAGAAGGACAUGCAAAUGAGAAGAAGAAAGAGAGCCCACGGUUGUUGAGCCUACAGGACAUUCUCAAACACUGAGAAUAGGAAGACUGACAAAGAUCAUUUAGGAAAUAUCUCAUAGACUACGCUGCUGUUCACAUAGCUCAGAACUCCAAGUGAUUUUGGUGACAAUUGAAAUGUUAUUAUAAUUGAAAAUACUUUGUUAACAUCCUAUGGCCAUGUCAUGUGAGCAUUCAUAAUGUGAUGGCACAGAAAAGCACCAGGAGCAGUGCAUUUAUUCUGCACUUUAGAUGUCGUAAAAAGGCUCUGCAGAAGACCGGACAGCCAUUAUGAUAUGAUACGCUUAUAAUUCAGCAGAUUGAUUUCUGCAAAAUAUCAGAGAUCAUGCUGGAGAAAUGAAAAGCACCAUUAAAAAGCAAUUAUGUA